UACGGAGGGUGCAAGCAUUAAUCGGAAUUAUUGGGCGUAAAGGGCGCGUAGGCGGAUUGGUAAGUUAGAUGUGAAAUUUCGAAGCUCAACUUCGAAGCUGCAUUUAAAACUGCGAAUCUAGAGGGAUGGCGGAGAAAACGGAAUUCCACGUGUAGCGGUGAAAUGCGUAGAUAUGUGGAAGAACACCUGUGGCGAAAGCGGUUUUCUAGCUAUUUCCUGACGCUGAGGCGCGAGAGCAAGGGGAGCAAACAGG
rnacentral:rRNA from 1 species